rnacentral:rRNA from 1 species
UACAGAGGUCUCAAGCGUUGUUCGGAUUCAUUGGGCGUAAAGGGUGCGUAGGUGGCAUGGUAAGUCGGAUGUGAAAUCCCGGGGCUCAACCCCGGAACUGCAUUCGAUACUGCCAGGCUAGAGUACUGGAGAGGAGAUUGGAAUUUACGGUGUAGCAGUGAAAUGCGCAGAUAUCGUAAGGAAGACCGGUGGCGAAGGCGGAUCUCUGGACAGUUACUGACACUGAGGCACGAAGGCCAGGGGAGCAAACGGG